GGCGGCGGCCGGUGGCAACGCGCAGGCGCGGGGGGGGCCGGGCCCAGCACGCAGCGCGCAGGCCCGCUGGCCGUGCGUGGAGGCGGGUUUGAACGGUGGCGGGUAGCGGAGCUUCUCGGUGCUGCGCUGCGCCGCUAAUGGAGCCCGUCCUGAAAGGUAUUUCUGCAUUUGUAGAAGUUUGGUCAUCUAGCAGAAGAGAAAAUUACUCAAAAACCUUUGAACAUCAACUUCUUGAAAUGGGAGCAAAAGUUUCAAAAACUUUGAACAAGCAUGUGACCCAUGUAGUCUUCAAAGAUGGACGUAUGACUACAUGGAGAAAAGCACAGAAGAUGGGUGUAAAAAUAGUUUCUGUACUCUGGGUGGAAAAGUGUCAAGAAACUGGACUACAUGUUGAUGAAUCCUUAUUUCCUGCAAUAGACACUAAUGAAGGAUUACCACUACUGAUGAAAAAACAUAAAUGUAUGCAGCCAAAAGACUUUGUUGAAAAAACUCCAGAAAAUGAUAGAAAGCUGCAGAGAAGACUGGACCAGAUGGCUAAAGAAUUAGCUGUACAAAAGACAGCAAUUAGUGCUGAAACUGAUGUACCAGUUUUACUAUUUGAAGACAAUGGUUCGCUUCUAUACAGUCCUGUUAAUAAGAUAAAACAUGAAUGCAGUGCAAUGGAAAGAAGAAUAAAGGAGAUGAAGGAAAAAAGAGAAAAUCUUUCUCCUACCGCUUCACAAAUGUCUCAAAUACCUCCGAGCAGUUCGCCAAGAGACUGUGUGCUGUCUACUUGUGUUUUACCUAAUUCAGAAGAUACAUUGUUACCAGGAGAACCGAUGGAAGACUGCUUGAACUCAAGUUACAAUUAUCUUUGGAAAACUGACAAAUUAAAGAGAAAGAAAACAGAGGCAGUAAAACAGACCUGUGAUACUUGGACUGACAUUAGUCUGUCUAUGAGUGCAUCAGUGAAUUCUCCCUCACAUAGCUAUGGGCAGAAGAGCUUAACACCAAAACACCACAGUAGAAGAAGCUUAAGAAAGAAACAGAUUUCGCAGCACAGUUUGGAUGACAAAUUGUCUUUAGAAAAGGAAGAUCUAAAAACAUUUCUGAAGAAAAAUCAGAAUGAAAAGAACAUGACCACUUCAGUUGCAAAAGAUAGUUCUCUUCUGCCAGUCAAGGGCUUUGGUCGUGUUACUCCUUCCAGAAAAACAGAUGGCUUAAAUACUAAUUCAUAUAUGAACAGUGAAGACUUCAACACAUGUUCAUUAGAUAGAAGCUUCCCUGAUGACAGAAAUUGUAUUCUUAAAGACAAGAAGAGGCAGAAACUACAAAUGCCACCUAGUUUGAAACUGGCUACCUCAGAACAGAGUGCAUCAGGGUCUGAAGAGUUCUUGCAAGCAGUUAAUACAUAUAGCAAGUCUUUUUGCACUGAAGAUGCUUCUUAUGAAGAUUUCUUUGCAACAUCUAAUUUGAAUGAAAAUGAGGUACAGGUACAAGUACCAAAGGAAUCAGAGGAUCUUCCUGAAGUUUGUUGCAAAGACUCCUUUAAAAGCAUGGACUUACUUGAUGUGAGUUUCUGUAAGCCACAUUCUACCUCCAAGAAAAGUAAGAAAAAGUCUAUUCCAGCAAAUGAUCUUUCAGUAAAGAAAAACUUCAAACCAGCUGAACAUCCUGGAAGUGUGCCACUGAAUUAUAUGUCAGAUGGUGAAAAAGCUGACACUGCAGAAGCUCCAGAUUCUGAUGAUGUGAGUAGGCUGCCCCAGAAUGCUCAUGAAAAAUCCUACAGAACCAAUGUGAAUUACUGUGCUCAUACUACUGGUGGUGAAAAUGAAGUUUCAGAGUGUCAUGUUACUGAUGGCUCUUGCAAAGUUUUUAAUGAACAAAAGAAUAAGCACAAUGGGGGGUUCAGAAAAAAUAGAAGACUUCAAAAGCCAUCAAGGACACUAGUUAUGACGAGUAUGUCUUCUGAGGAACAAAAUACGGUAAUCCAGGUGGUGAAUAAACUCGGAGACUUUUUGCUCUCAGAUGAUGUAUGUGAAACAACAAGUCAUGUAGUUACAGGGAGUCCUCGUCGUACCUUGAAUGUUAUGCUGGGAAUUGCUCGUGGGUGUUGGAUUGUUUCUUAUGAAUGGGUUCUUUGGUCUUUGGAAUUGGGCCAUUGGAUCUCAGAGGAACCAUAUGAACUUUCAUCCACCUUUCCUGCAGCUCCUUUUGUGAUGUGUCAGAACCUGUGAUGGGACAGGAGAAAGAUUACCUGCAUACUGAGACAAAGAUAAGGGCUCCUUUGAGUUUGGACUCCUUGCCUCCAUACAACCAUCUAGUGAAACUCCUAUUGCUGUGUACCUCACUGGCUAAGUAACAGUCAAUUCUUAAUAUUUCCAAAUAAAUCAUUUGCUGGAAAGGUAAUACUCCAUCUACAGUGGAAUGUACACAGAAGAUCAAAUCUUUUAUGAGUAUCCUAUCAUUAAAAUGGUAUAUUUUCUUCCCAACAUAAACCAACUAGAAAGUCCUCUUGCUGGUCUUUCACUUCAUCUGCAUCUGAAUUAUUACCUUAGUACUUUCACUACACAGAGAAAAUUCAAAUAUUUGGAAAUAGUUUGUCUCAUUACAAAUGAAAUUCAGAGACUGUUAUUGGUGGUGUCAGUAUUGUUUGAAAAUGAAUCCCCGUUCAGGCUAGCCACAGCCAAACUGACUUAUAUUUACAAAUCCUAUCAAAUCACUCAGUCUUACUAGCUUCAUUUUAAACUUGAUUAUAGAAGUUGUAUGUGCUUACUUGAUUUUUAAGUCAAUAUCUUCAGCCAAAUCUUUGAUCAAAUUCUAUUUUAAAUAACUAAUCAUGCUUUACUUUUAGUGUUAAAUGAUAUAUUAGUUGUUACUGCUUCAGCUGUAGCCUGUGGUAUGUUAAUAGCAAUGUCCAGUGAAUAGCAUUUUUCUUGAACACAAGUAGCUUUAUAUCUAAUUCAUUAAAUUAAUGAUCAGCUGAUGUUAUUCUACUAAUUUCUGGUUUCCUUUGCCUGUUUGCCCACUCAAGUAUCAUUUUUAAGAACAAAAAUGCAUACAAUAAAGUUAAAAUAUUCACUAGAUUAUGCCAUGUCAAUUAGAAGAAUAUCUCCUAAUUUCCUCUUCUGUUAAUGAAGAUUGUACCCUUGCACAGAGUGUCAAGGUGGCCUUCUUUGUCUAAAUACAAAGAUCAGCUCACCUAAGGCUUCCUUGUGGAGUCAGGGGGACUUCUCUCUGCUGAUUAGAAGGGGACUCUUGAGUAACAAACUCAGAUGAAAGCACCCAGUUUAGGUGAAAUGCACAUUAUGAAGUUCAGCAGACAAUACAAAUGCUGGCUUCAGGCUUAUUAUAAAACCCUCAUUGCUGUAAACUGCAUGGGAAGGACAGGAGCCUUCUCCUGACCACUUUUCUGCAGAAGGUGAUGAGAACUGAGGAUAAACUCACCUGAUUUCUUGUCUCUUUUGCUAAAAGUUCUAGUUUGACUUAUUGGAGGAAGUGACAGUUGUUCCAGAUUUCGGAUAUGUUCCAUUGUCUGAAUUUAAAGUGCUGUUAAUAGUAUUUAAAUUUAGAAUUUAAAGUAUGUUAAUAGUAUUUUUUUUCAUUUUAUUGCUGUGGUUUUUUGUUUGUUUUUUUUUUGUUUGUUUGUUUUGUUUUGUUUUUUUGGUUUUUUUUACUAUUGUAUCCCAACUUAAUUGUUUUGACUCUCAUCUUUUUCAGUAAUGCAUUCACUCGGACUAUGAAAUGAUUAAAUAACAUUCCACCAAGAAAUUUGGUCUAAAUAGAUCUGCAGACUUCAGCGUCAACUAUCAACAGGAAAAUACCAGCAAAAUCUCUUUUCAAACCAGCCUGUGAUGUUUGUAUCUCCUACCAGUCAGCCACCCUGCAAAAAGCUAAUUGAACUUAUACAGCUGUCAGGAGGAAAAAUAUGUAAAACCUUACGUCAGGCAAAAAUCUGUAUAGGAGAAAAACCAGGAAAGAAGUACCAAGAAAUAAAAUGUUUAUCAGAAAAA